GCCAGCAUGGCAUAAUGGUUUCAGUGUUGGACUGUGACUCUGGAGCCUGGGUUCGAUUUCCAGUUCAGCCA